CCUACGGGAGGCAGCAGUGGGGAAUAUUGCGCAAUGGGCGAAAGCCUGACGCAGCGACGCCGCGUGAGGGAUGAAGGUCUUCGGAUCGUAAACCUCUGUCAGCAGGGAAGAACGGUCACUGUGCUAAUCAGCAGUCACUUGACGGUUCCUGCAAAGGAAGCACCGGCUAACUCCGUGCCAGCAGCUGCGGUAAUACGGAGGGUGCGAGCGUUAAUCGGAAUUACUGGGCGGAAAGCGCUCGUAGGCGGUAUGUCAAGUCAAGGGUGAAAUCCCCGCGCUCAACGUGGGAACUGCCUUUGAAACUGGCAAACUAGAGUGUGGGAGAGGAUAGUGGAAUUCCAGGUGUAGGAGUGAAAUCCGUAGAUAUCAGGAGGAACAUCAGUGGCGAAGGCGACUAACUGGCACAUAACUGACGCUGAGGAGCGAAAGCGUGGGUAGCAAACAGGAUUAGAUACCCUAGUAGUC
rnacentral:rRNA from 1 species